rfam:Candidatus Roizmanbacteria bacterium RIFCSPLOWO2_01_FTLL_35_13 rifcsplowo2_01_scaffold_1129, whole genome shotgun sequence.
UCUGGUUACUGGAGCGACUCGGUACCACCCUUUCCCAUCCCGAACAAGGAAGUGAAACGAGUCAGCGCCGAUGAUACUACCCGCUUCGGCGGGAGGGAAAGUAGGUCGUAGCCAGGG